rnacentral:rRNA from 1 species
GACGAACGCUGGCGGCGUGCUUAACACAUGCAAGUCGAACGGAAAGGCCCUGCUUUUGUGGGGUGCUCGAGUGGCGAACGGGUGAGUAACACGUGAGUAACCUGCCCUUGACUUUGGGAUAACUUCAGGAAACUGGGGCUAAUACCGGAUAGGAGCUCCUGCUGCAUGGUGGGGGUUGGAAAGUUUCGGCGGUUGGGGAUGGACUCGCGGCUUAUCAGCUUGUUGGUGGGGUAGUGGCUUACCAAGGGUUUGACGGGUAGCCGGCCUGAGAGGGUGACCGGCGACAUUGGGACUGAGAUACGGCCCAGACUCCUACGGGAGGCAGAAGGGGGGAAUAUUGCACAAUGGGCGGAAGCGUGAUGCAGCAACGCCGCGUGCGGAAUGACGGCCUUCGGGUUAUAAACCGCUUUCGCCUGUGACGAAGCGUGAUUGACGGUAAUGAGUAAAGAAGCACCGGCUAACUACGUG